rnacentral:tRNA from 1 species
GCGUAAAUAGGCUAACGGUAAACCAACUGCCUCCAAAGCUGUGAUUCCAGGUUCGAAUCCUGGUUUACGCGCCA